rnacentral:lncRNA from 1 species
UCUCUCACACUAUUUACACAAACUCUCUUUUCAGUACCAAAAGCUUUAUAUAUGUUAAUAGAUGAGUUUGUGAGUAAUGUUUCAGUGGCUUAUUUUAGGAGUCUCACAAUUUGAUUUUUGUUCCAUGGUUAGGGCCUAGAGGAGGCAUUUGCCCCCAUUUGUUCAUUCAUUUGAUUCAGAUUCAAGUUUUGGUCUUAGGUGUUACAAUUUCAAUUACUUUGUAUUCGAGUUGGAUAAAUACCUGUAAUUUGGAUUAUACCUACUCAAUAUAUAUGCAUUAUCUUCUCUGAGUAACUUUUUGUUUAUGGAGCUUGUUGAGGGUAUUAAAUGAUGGUGUUAGUAUUUUGGUGUCCAAGUCAUUUGAUGAAAUUCAUGAAACUUGUAUUAUGUCAAUUAGAAUAAAUGAAGCUGUUUUGAUUGGGUCACAGAAGAAACUUUUGAUGUGCCAACUAAUUAUUGAUCGGCAUGGUCAAUUGUCUUGGGAAAAAAGUACACUAUAUGAUAUGAAUCUUUUUAAAAAGUGAUUUUAUCAUUAUCAUUGUUAUUAUUAUUAUUAUUAUUUAACAUAAGGAUUUUAUUAUUGUUAUUAACUUUAAAGCAUUAAUAGUAGGGUAAUAAUAGACCCUUAGAUUUGUAUGUUUUAAUCAUAAUCAUCCAGCCUCCGGUGACCAAAUUCACUGCAAAAGUAGCUUUUGUUCCUGCUGCAUGGCGGGUUUUUUUACCAGAAGUUUUGCAUUUCGCCGCCAGAAACUAGUUCAAAUAAUCAAUUAACGUCACCAUGCAAUCAAUAGGACAUCCCACUAGCUAUGUUCAUGUUGCUAGUAGAUGUACAUUGGAUUAUUAUUUUCUUGUGGUUGAAGAUUCAUCUGAACCAAAUGGACCCAUGUGUAAUAAAAAUAAAUAGAUAAAUAACAAAAACGCAGAAGCACAAACAGAAAAUUUAAUAUUUUUCUGACAAAAUAAAGAGAUACGUGGGGGCAGCGGAAGACUGACUUUUGAUGACUCUUUGUCCGCCAUUAGAGAAUAACUGCAACCAAACCAUGUUUUUCACUUCAAUUAUUAUUAGUAUUAUCAAUAAUUAGGGCUUCUUUAUCAACAUCGACCUUUCACUCAAAUUCAACAGCCAAAGUUGCCAGCGGGUUGUGCUCGGCUGAUCAAAAGCAAGUAGUAUAUGUAGGGGAAUGUAAUCAUAGAUGACGCCUUGCACAGCCACGUUCUCUGUCAUUUUCUCAUUUACUUUUUAGAAAGUAAUCCAAUUUGAGGAUAGAACUCAAAUUAAUAAGGAAUUAUUAUCAAAUCGAAUAGAAUAACAACAAUAAUUUAGAUUAGCAAAGAGGUGUUAUAGGAUAAACAAUGCUUGUGAAGAAUCCAAUUUUAAAUAAAAGAAUUUCACAUACUGUAUUUUAUCUUUUCUCUUUUUACUUUUUUUAAAAUUUAAAAUAACCCUUUUAAAUGUUUGUCAAUCAGUAAUAUAAUUUUUAAAAUAAUUAAAAUUUUUACUAAUAAAACUAACGUGCACCAUUGAUUAAAUCUAAUGGUAUAUAUUUAUUAUAUUAUUGAUUUUGUAAAAAAAAAUUAUAGCAUUAUACAAGGACCACAAAACUAUCGUUUUCUACUGAAAAAUUUAAAAUUUAGUCAAAUAUGGUCAAUCCUAUAUUUCUAUCAUAAAUUUCUUGAUAGAAAUAAUUUCUAUCACCAUCCUAUCAUACAUUUAUGAUAGAAAAUAAUUUUAUCAUAAGUCUAUCAUUAAUCCUUGAUGGACAGUAAUUCUAUCACGAAUUCGACAUUAAUCCUUGAUAGACCUAUAAUUGUAUCACAAGUCCAUCAUAGUUUUAUGACAUAAGCCAUUUUGUUUAGAAUCCAUCAUAAAAUGUUUGUUAUCUAUUGCUAGUUUUCUUAUAGUUACAUAAACUUAUUUUACAUAAUUAUGUUCAAAAAGAAAGUUUAUGUGAUAUUUUAAAAAGGAUUUCUUUAUAAUACUGUAUGUAUUUUUACAGCAUUGAUAGUGGGAUUAAUGUGGACCAUUAGUUUUAAGUAUCUUAAUCUCAAUCGUCAAUUUAAUAUAAUGGAUAAUUAAAUAACUAUUGAAAAUGUAGCAUGUAAUUUACAAGUUGCUGGAAAAUAUUUUUUUGAUUUUAAAUUAAUAUUAAUUUGAAAAAAAAAGCCACACAAACCCAAAGGUUUGCUCAAAUAGUCAUACAGAUCUACUUGGUUUCAUAAAUGGUAAUACAGACCCCUUAAUUUUCAUUAAUGACUAUUAUAUAUUUUGAUUUAAACAACCUGAGUAAAUAUAAAUAUAGUAAUAAGAUAAAAAUAAUAAUAAAUAUCAUAUGAUACAAAUAAAAUAUUACAAUAAGUAUAAUUAAUAAAAUAACUUGUAUAAUGAAUUUUUUUAAUAUUAAGUUACUAUUAAUCUAUCCCGAUGGGUUUAUUAAAAUCUACUAAUUCAAAAAUUAACUUUAAGAUAGAUAUUAAUACAAAUAUAAUUAGAAAAGAUAUUAUAAAUAAAACACUAUAAAUUUUUAUAAAUUGUUGUGAGUGUUAGGUAUAACUAUUUCAAUAUUCUAUAUCAUACAUCAUACUUAAGAUGUUGAUUUUGUUGAAGUGUUAUGUUAUUAAACAUUAAGCUUUGCAUUUAUAAUGUUCUACAACUUUAAUGUAAAAUGUAAUUGAAAAAAUAAAAACAUUUUUUAGUAGUCAAUUGUUUUGUAAUAUGAUCAAAUUAAGACAGAGUUAUCAUAUUUUCAUUGUUGAAUAUGCAUAUGAUUCUUAUUGAAUACAAAGGUGCAUCAUUAUGGAUAGCAUAGUUUCAUCAUCAUCAUCUUGCAUCCAUUUUUAAAAAAAUAGAAAUAUAGACCUAAAAUAAGCUAAUGGAGGAAGACCAACGGUCCUGAAAAGUUGUUCCAUAAAUUUAAGCCUACGGUGAUACUUAUUUCUAGACUGAUACUCUAAGUAACUUAGGGCAUGUUCAGUAUCAUUUUGUAGUCCCUAUUUUCAUUUUAAUUUUAAUAGUACAUGUGCAAUAUAUGUUCAGCGAGCCUAAACCUUAAAUCAAAUUAUAAAAUGUAUUAAACAGAAUUUAUUUGAUAGUAAUAAAAAUUAAAACAUGUUAAACACAUUUUCUGUAAAUUACAAAACGAAUUAUAAAAUAAUAUACUACACGUCCUCCAAAGCAUAGCGAAUAAAUUAUAUUUUACAAACACAUAUAAGACAUGUGUUAAGUUAGUAGAGUUGAUUUUUCUUGUAGUCAUUAAGACAUAUGAAUUGAUACCCCUCCCCCCCAAACACACACACACAUAUUGAGUAUUUCUAUCUACCCCUAUUUAUUAAUAGAAGGAAAAUUAAAAUCGUAAUUACCUCGAUAUCUUAUGAAUUGAUAUGUCACAUACAAAUAUCAGUGAAAAUUAAUUUUUAGAUUAAUGAAGUAAACCAUAUAUAGGCAUUUAAUUAAUCUAAGGUCAAAUGAAUAUAUCACAUGACAUUUCAUGAAGUAGUCCAGUUUUAAAACUUUGCAUAUAGUUUUGUAACUUANNNNNNNNNNNNNNNNNNNNNNNNNNNNNNNNNNNNNNNNNNNNNNNNNNNNNNNNNNNNNNNNNNNNNNNNNNNNNNNNNNNNNNNNNNNNNNNNNNNNCAAUUGUGAGUUUUACAUUAAAUCUUCAAAUUAAUUAUAUAUUGUCACUCUUUCCUAUUUUGCUUGAAAUUUCUAUUUAAUAAAAUUACGAAAAGUCGAUAAUGAAUGGUUUAAGAUACAUAGGUAAGAUAAACUUUAAAAGUCUAAUGAAACAUUCCUAUGAAUGUGGGUUUCGUAUGCAUGUUCAUAUAUUUUAUUGAAUUUUGUGUUAUUAAACGAAAUAUGUUAUUCAAGUGAAAAUGUGAGAAUAUUUAAAACUAUAAGGGUGGUCAUUGAAAUUUUUCAUACUUCUACCAACUCAACGGUCCAACAGUUUUUUAAAGAAUUCCCAACAGUUUAGCCACUUUAUGAACCGGUUAUGUUAUUUUAAAAAUAAUUAAAAUUUUUUAUUAAUAAAUAUAAUGUAAUAUUGCUUACAUUAUUAAUACUGUAAAAAAAUUACAGUAUCAUAAAGGGAUACUUUUAAAAAUAAUGAGGUCUCUGUCUAACCAUACCGUGAAACCAUGAAGAUGUCCACUCUCUAACUUUCCCUUGUUAUUUAUUUUGGAAUGAAAACUGACCGAAUGAAAGGGCAAAAGUAGUUAAUUUUCUGCAGGUAAAAGGGCAAAAAAGUACUUUUGUGCCAAUAUUAAUUAAAACAUUAAUUCAAGUGACGAAUAAAGUAAGGGAGGGAUUAUUAUUAUGUUGCGCGUGAACAAAGGGACAGCAGCGAGAAGCUGUAGGGGACUCUUCAGGCAAACAGCUCACUGGAAUUGGAUCUUACAUUUAUUUUUUAAAUUUAAUUAAAUGAAAAUGCGAGAAAGUGAAUGGCGUGCGCAUUACGCACCUACCCCAACUUUAUGGUCAUUUGAUGCUCCACCACCAAUUAUUAGAGCAGUGCUAGCGUCAGUCCCUUUGGGAGCGGCUGACGCAGUCGCUGCUUCUAGGGGGGACAAGUGUUCUUUUUCUUCUUUUGUGCUUCAUUAAAUGAUGGAUUAUAGGACCCACCUAUAUAUACCAAGUCAAUGAUGGAUUAUUGAAAUCUAUGUAUCAAAAGAAAGUUUUUUUUAUUUAUAUACUCUUUCUGUAAAUUAUAGUUUUUCUACCAAAUUAUAUAAUUCAUCAUUAAAAUGGAAGAGAUAAUAUCACAUUUAUAUAGAGUUUUUAUCUAAUGAGAAUAUUUUAUUUUAAUAAAAUAAAAAUAUCACUAUAUAUAUUCAUUAGAAUUGGAUUUUUUUUUAAAAUUUAAUUAAUUGAAAGAGUGAGAAAGUUGAAGAAGUAUGCGCAUUAAACGGAAGAAGAGAGAGAGAGAAAGAGCGUGUAACAGAAACAGAGACAGUAGUGGUCGGGUGACUCGUGUCGGCUUCGACCAAACAUUGACGAUAUAUUCGUUCACAUAUUUUUAUUGCAAUUCAUAUUUUAACAAAAAUAUUCAUUUACUUCCAUCUCAUUCGAUCUGCUCGAUCCACAGCCCUAAUUCAGCUCGCAGGUACCCUCUUGCUUUUCCUUUCCUAUGCUUCAGAUUUAGUUUCUUUUUAAAAUUUUCUAGUUCCUGCUUGGGUGCUGAGAAAAUGGAAGAAAAAAUUCAUUUACUUCCAUCUCAUUCGAUCUGCUCGAUCCACAGCUCUAAUUCAGCUCGCAGGUACCCUCUUGCUUUUCCUUUCCUAUGCUUCAGAUUUAGUUUCUUUUUAAAAUUUUCUAGUUCCUGCUUGGGUGCUGAGAAAAUGGAAGAAAAUGAUGGAUUUUUAGUGAAACCUUGUGCUGUUAUUAAUUUAUUCGCUUGCCCAUUACAUGUUUUUGCGUUUUGAGUGUAGAUAUGCUGUUAAUUAGUGAAGGUAAGUCCUGGUUUUCACCCAACCGAAAAGUUUUUCUUUCUUUUUUUUGGGUUUUUAUUAUUAGAUCCUAAAUCAUUUCUUGCUUUGUUCAUCUCAUGUUUUUGUGUUACUUUUAGUGAAUCGUUUUUGUAAAAUCACGAUCUGGGUUUUACCCUUUUUUUUGUUUUGCAUUGAAAGUUGUUUACUUCUUUUUUUUUUUUUUGAAGAGAGUUGUGUACUUCUUUUGUUUUGUAGUAUCCUAUAUUUUGAUUAUAUUUAUCAACUUUUUUCAUGAAAAUUUGCUGUUUUUAUGCUAGAAAGUGAUGAAAAGUUUCAUUUCUGUCACACUUUUUUUCUUCAGAGGUGCAUAAUUAUUUCCCUGACAAAUUGGCGUUAAAGGUUAAAAGCCAGCUUUUUUAUUUUGGCUCAUUAAAGGCUUAAAGCAGGGCUAGACUGACACAUUAAAGAGAGUUACUAGAGCCGUUGGUUAGAUAAAUCUGAACAACCUGUGACAAUAACAAGUCGUAGAAGUAAAUGCAGCAUUUUAAGGCAAUUUUAGUUGAUGGUUUUUGUUGCUGAGAAUCUUGUAGUGGGUUUGUUUUCAGUACAGCAUAGUCCCUUUUAACUUGGGGCUUUUGUUUGUAGGUUGAUCAAGUGACUCAUAAGGGUUUGUUGUGCUUCUGUUAUGUCAUUUGCGGCUGCGGCAGUGCCUUUGAAUCAUGCCUCUGGAGGUCCCCCUACAGGUUUGCUUCAAUAUUUGUGAUUUAUUGAUGAUUCAUUAGUGUCAAAUGAUGUACUGUUCAUUGGCGUCUUUUUGUAUUGGUUGUAUUAAUUUCAAAUUAGUGAUGGAAUCUGACUGAGGCAAACGGGUUACAGGGCUAAUGUUUGUUUGCACCUGAUGUAGUCUAUGACUUGCACCAUGGCUUAUGUAACUACAAUUCUUCAGCAGUUUCUUAAUUGUUGCAGUUAAUUGUGUUUGGUUGUUCUCAAGAACAGUUCUUUGAUUCUGAGAGCAUGCUUUUAUCAUAAUCGUUUCAAUAUAGAAGCUAGAAGAUUCUUUUGGGUACACAGCACACAGUAUCAGAUGAUUCACAUUUGUUUUUCUUAGAUAUGAAAGUUAUUAUUAUUCUUUUCAAACUUUUGAAUCCUAACCGGACCAAUAUUGUGUGACAGUGCGCUUUCUUAUGAAUUUACGGUUUUGAACUUUUGCUUUGAUUUUGAUCUGUACCCAAUUUCAUGAUGGCUGAUAAAUGAUAAUAAGGUAUAUUUUGUCGGGGACUGGGAUAGUAAUUUUGUCUUCAUGUCAUCGCAGUGUGUUGUAUUUUAUGAUCUCAUUGAUAUGUUUGGGCGGUUUGUGUUUUGCUCUCUUUCUUCCUGUCCCAGCUUCAUUUUCUGCUUACUUUGCCCUUUGUGUUCACUUUAUAGGGGGAUCCAAUGAUGCACUGUACAGGGAAUUAUGGCAUGCCUGUGCUGGACCUCUUGCAACCCUUCCUUGUGAAGGGCAGCGAGUUUAUUACUUUCCGCAAGGUCACAUGGAACAGGUUUGUUGACCUUUAACUGGAAUCUGUCUCUGUUUGAGUGUUCUUUUAGUUUAUAUGAGUUUACUAUUAUAGAAUGACAAAUAUGAAUACCCUAUUAAAAAUUGCCAAACACAAAAAAUGGAAAAAAAAAAAAAAGAAAAGAAAAUGACCAAAGUGUAGAAAACACUCAACUUGUUUAACAGAAGAAUAUAAUGUGAAAAUAUCUAUCUAUCACCAUUUGCAGGUUAAAAAUUUUUUUCUUUCAAUGUCGUAGGGACAAGAAAGUUUCAAUCAUGUUAUAACUAAUGCUAUUUUUCAAAUUUCCAGCUUGAAGCAUCGAUGCAUCAGGAGUUGGAGCAGCAAAUGCCCUCAUUUAAUCUGCCAUCUAAAAUUCUGUGUAAAGUGGUUAAUGUUCAGCGACGGGUGAGUUAUCUCAUGAUCAUUCUAUUAUUUUUUGGGGAGCAUGUCAUUGUUCUUGAGCUCUGUUAAAAAGUUGUUUCCAUUUCUAAGUCCUUACUUCAGUUGCUCUUUUUGCUUUGACUGUAGGCUGAACCUGAAACGGAUGAAGUUUAUGCACAAAUAACUCUGUUGCCUGAACCUGAUGUAAGCUUUCUUCCUUUUGCUCUAAUCUUUUAAUUAGCUGAUUUAGAAACUACUAAAUUUGUUAGCUUGUUAUAGUUGCUUGCAAUUCUUACAGUUUCUUUCUUUCAUGUCUGUCUGUGUUAAUUUCACCAGCAAAGCGAGGUUACCAGCCCAGAUCCCCCCAUCCCAGAGCCUGAAAAGUGCACCGUUCAUUCAUUCUGUAAGACAUUAACUGCAUCUGAUACGAGCACCCAUGGUGGGUUCUCCGUUCUUCAUAGGCAUGCAGAUGAUUGUCUCCCCCCAUUGGUUAGCUUCAACUGUGAAUCCAUCAUUUUUGUGUCAGAUACUACAGGAUGAUAUGUUGUAUUUACAGCUUGCUUGACCUGCCUGUCUCCCUUGAUCAUUUCAGGAUAUGUCCCGGCAGCCACCUUGGCAGGAACUAGUUGCAACUGAUCUGCACGGGAAUGAAUGGAAUUUUCGGCACAUUUUCCGAGGUUUGGCUCCAACUUCUCUGACUUGAUAUAACACUUUGUUGCUUAAGUUGAAGCAGAAACAUUGCUGCAACAUGCUUAUUUUUAAAGUUUGCCAGGUUCAUGUAUUUUGUUAAAUAUUUUAUCCAAUGUAUUAUAAAUUACACAUGGUUUCUGGAAAUUUGAGGAUUUUGAUACAAAGUCAAGGUUUCCUAUCACAGAUCAACCAAGGCGUCACUUGCUCACCAUUGGGUGGAGUGUGUUUGUUAGUUCCAAGAAAUUGGUAGCAGGCGAUGCAUUCAUAUUUCUGAGGCAAGUACUGGUAUAUCAAAUAGGAAACGAAGUAUGUUCUGUUUCGUUGCUUUGUUUCCUAUAUUUAUCGUGUUCGCUAUUGAUAACUGUUUCAGAGGGGAAAAUGAGGAGCUGCGUGUUGGGGUAAGGAGGCACAUGAGACAGCAGACAAAUAUGCCAUCUUCAGUUAUAUCUAGUCAUAGUAUGCAUCUUGGCGUACUUGCAAUUGCUUCUCAUGCCAUUGCAACUGGAACUCUCUUUUCAAUCUUCUACAAACCAAGGUAUUUUCCUUUGUGCAAUUUGAAGUUUGACGAGUGAAACAUUUCCAAUUUCUGAAUUGAAAGAGAGUAAAACUUAGGACUAAAUGCCCAAAACUCAAUGUAAAGGCAUGAAAUUUUUUUUUAAAGAUGUUGUCUUACAAACAUCGAAAUUUGCCAGCACUUCUAUAGUUUGGGCUUCUUUUUUAAAAAAUCCCUCUAUGUUCUAUCAUGCUAUGUAUUUUUCGAAUUAUCAUUAUUAAUAUUUUUCAAUAAAAUAUUUUUGACAUAAAAUAUAAUUAUGUGCCAGAACUAGCCGGUCUGAGUUCAUUGUAAGUGUUAACAAGUAUCUUGAAGCUAAAAAACACAAGCUUUCUGUUGGGAUGGGGUUCAAGAUGACAUUUGAGGGUGAGGAAGUUCCUGAACAAAGGUAACCUUCCUUUCUAAUUUAUUUUUGUAGAAGAGGAAGUUAAAUAACAUUUAUUAACCAAUUUUAUCAUCGUUCCACAGGUUCAGUGGUACUAUAGUCGGAGUUGGGGAUUGUAAAAGUUCAGUCUGGCCAGAUUCAGAGUGGAGAUCCUUAAAGGUUAGCAAGUUCUUUUCCCAUACACCAACUUAGUUUUGAAUUCAUUCAAAGAAUUUACUAAGGUGGCCAUUCCAAUAUUCCACUCAGUUUUAUCCACACUUUUAUACUAAUCAAAUUAAAUAGUGGCUUUUAAAAUUACUAAUUUUUUAGAAGAUUAGGUGUUUGUUUCCUUUGUAACCGGUCAAAUAUUUCUGUGUUUUGAAUUUUGGCGGGGGGAACUCUGUGUGGCCUGGUUGACUUUAUCAUGUUUCAAUUUUAUGUUAGGUUCAAUGGGAUGAACCUUCAUCAAUCUUGCGACCAGAUAGAGUAUCAUCGUGGGAAUUGGAGCCACUUGUUGCAACUACAACUACUACAAAUGCUCAACCAGCACAAAGGAACAAACGGUCACGACCACCUGUUUUACCAUCACCAGCUGCAUGGGAUGAACCUUCAUCAAUCUUGCGACCAGAUAGAGUAUCAUCGUGGGAAUUGGAGCCACUUGUUGCAACUACAACUACUACAAAUGCUCAAACAGCACAAAGGAACAAACGGUCACGACCACCUGUUUCACCAUCGCCAGCUGCAGAUAUCUCUGUCCUGGGUAUUAUAGCUUUAGAUAUGAUGCAUCUUGUUCUUAUUCUUCUUUACUUCAGUUGCUAAUCUUGUCUUUCUGUAUUUAUGUGGAAAACCGUGCAGAAAAUUUAACAGAAUCAUUUGCUCCAGUUGUGAACAAAGAAUCCAGUGAAAAGAGACAGGGCAAUGGGAACACCUGCAGGCAAUUUGGCAUUCCACACAUUGACAACUCGAAUGUAGAAGAAGCUUCGCCUGCUUUUACCAUGUCUGGAGCAAUGGGGGAUGAUCGAGCAAUUCCAUGUUUAGAUGCAGACUCUGACCAGCAUUCUGAACCAUCAAAUAUUAAUCGAUCUGACGUUCCUUCUGUAAGUUGUGAUGCAGAGAAAUCGUGCCCGAGAUCUCCUCAGGAGUCUCAAAGCAGGCAGAUUCGAAGUUGCACAAAGGUAAUAUGGUUGCUUUCUGUUUUAACUUUCCUUUCUUAACAAGCUAGCAUGCAUUAGAUAAGAUCUCAGAAAGGGCUUUAUUUUCCUUUUGAAAUUUUAGUUUUUGUCUGCCCGACAGGCAUCCUCUCUGUCUAUGGAACCGGUUUAUAAUGUCUCUUCGAAUGGGAAAUUUAGAAGAAGAAUAAUGUCAUGGCAAAAGGGUGAGCUUUUGGGAAGUGGGUCAUUUGGGUCUGUGUAUGAAGGCCUCACUGAGUAAGUGAAUUCUGUUCCUGUAUUAAUGUUCUUGGAACUUGUGAAAAGGAGUUUAAUUGUUCUGAUUGUAUUUCAAUACCCAUUUGGUUACAUAGCCUUAUUGAUAUGUACCUGCUGAAGGUUUUUAAUGAGUUAAAGGAUGUACAAUGUUGGAUUAGAAGGAAGUUUCUAGGAACUUAUUGAAUACUUUUUCUGCUUUCUGAAAGAUACUACAGGAAAAGUGAUAGACUUCAUGAUGAGAACUCAAUGGGGUUUUGGGUAUGCUACUUGUAAAUCUACUCGUCUUAUUUGUCAAGAUAAUCAUGCAAGAUGAAUUCAAUUUUGUUUUUGAGGCAGGGUAAUUUGAUGACGAGCUAGACUGAAUGUUCUUUUGCAUAUUCUUACUUGAAACAAUGAAGUUUUGCAACUAUUUUACGUUUUACUUCUAAAUAUUUCUAAGAUUUUGAGGUGUAUUUUAUUUGUUUUUGCAAUGAGUCCAUAUUCUGAAAGUGGUUAGGAUUAUGUCUGUGUGGUCAGACUUACAAUGAUUAACUUGGCCUUGUUUACUAUCUUUGAUGUGCAUGUUUAUGUGCAAACGUCCAUGAGCAUAUACUUUUUUUUUUUUUUUUGGGGGGGGGGGGGGGGGGGCAACUUCUCUAAUGCUUUCUGGUUUGUUUGCAGUGAUGGAUUCUUUUUUGCUGUGAAGGAGGUUUCUUUGCAGGAUCAAGGAGCUCAGGGAAAGCAGAGCAUUCUUCAACUUGAGCAGGUGGGAUGAUUAGUCUUGUCCUGCUGGAACUCCAUUACAUAUUAUUCUGUAGUCUUUUUCUCUGCUUUAAAUUACAAAUCAUGCAGUUGCAUAUUUUUAUCCCGCCUCUAAAUAGCUACAUGGAAGGAUCAUUUCUCUAAUAAUAUGUUUAUUGGCUCAGGAAAUUUCUCUUUUGAGUCAGUUUGAACAAGACAACAUAGUUCAAUAUCUUGGCACAGACAAGGUAUGCGUCUAUCCUCCGUGCUUGCUUUUUUUUUGCCUUUCAUUUCCUCAUAGUAAUAUUUGUGAAGUGAGGGUCAGAACUUUGUGCUUGUAAUGACAUUUAUAGACUCCUAACACCUAUGAUUUUUCUGGAAUUUGAAGCACUGUGAAUUAAUGCAUGUUAUUGACUUUAGCACUAUUUGAAUUUUUUUUUUCUCUUUUAAGUGAAAUUAUACUGUCAUUGUCCUUAUCAUUAACACAAUCAAUUGGAUUAAGUAGUCAUACUUGACAGGAAAUACUUCAGAAUCAAAGUUUUAUGCUACAAUGAAAUCGCCAGUAUUCCCAAACUAUCCAUAUACCCGUGGGGAACUCUAUUAUUGCCAGCUUUAAUUUCUUCCUGCUACAUUUAGUUGUGCAAUUCAUUAUUAUCUGGCAUUUCAGUAUAUAUAAACCUAUCUUAUUUGUUAAAGUACACAAAGAACAAGGAACUUCCCACUAGUCCUAAAUUUGAAGAAAAAUGCAGUCCUGCUGCACACUUUGUGUGGCAUAUUAACUAAUUUUUUGAAUUUCUAUGGAAUUUGUCUCUGUUGUAUUAAAUUGUCCUUUUAUAUCUGGUUGUUUAGGUGUGCUUAUUUCAUUUCUGACUCUUUAAUUCUAAGUCACCAAAUGAUCUCAGGAUGAAAAUAGGCUUUAUAUCUUCCUUGAGCUUGUAACGAAGGGUUCACUUGCAAAUCUUUAUCAAAAGUACCACUUGAGUGAUUCUCAAGUCUCUUCAUACACAAGGCAGAUCCUGAAUGGCUUAGUAUAUCUUCAUGAGCGGAAUGUGGUUCACAGGUGAUAUAAUUGAUUUGGCUGCUAUUUUCUCAGUUCAUUUUCCUUAUCAUGCUGUGUCCUCUCAAUAUUCCACAUUUUAUGUCAAGAUGUCUCGGUGCAAAUAGAUGUAGCAUUCAUGAUUGUUUAUGCAGAUAGGAAAUCAGUUCUUUCUCUUGCUGUUUGUUUGCAAUAUGUUAUUAUUUAUACCAUUCGUUUUCUUUCCAAAAAUGCAGAUUUUUGGAGCUCAAUCUUUAAAACUAGUCUGGAAACCUGCAUAUUGUUAAGCAUUUCUAUUGCUGAUACUUUGUAUAUAAUUUCGUGAUGGUAUUAGAAAUAAGAUGUUGCAGAGGAAAGGUUGAGAAAAUUGGUAGAAACAAAGAGAAAAAGGUAAAAGCGUACAGAAAUAACAAAAGAGCAUUUAAAGUUGUAGGAUGUUUUGUAAACAGCUAACCAUGUUGAAUAUGCAUUUUGAAGAAAUAGUUGCAAUCAUAACCAUUUACAGAUAGUUUUAAUCCCUCACAAGGAAAAUUACAUUCUCAGUUGCUGCAAAUCAUGGAUAUUGGUUUCAUUCAAGGUUAAACAGAAGAUAGCAAUAACAGAGGUUGUUAUUUGGAAUUGAGGGAAAGUUUGCUUAACUGUUAUCAUCUUGCAAGUGUUAAUCAUAACUUAGCAGCUGCAGAGUUUCAACAGAAUAAUAAUCUAGUAUCUUCUUAGUGCAUGUACUGGGGAUGAAUUUAUAGACAAGGUAAAUCUCAGUUGAUGAGAGUAAGAAAUUCUUCUCUCAGCAAAAUGUUAUCAAAAUGCUCAUUCAGAUAGCUCACUGAUUGUUUACAGACUUACGAAAAUUGUUAAAAAGCGUGUGGUGAAUAAAUAGCUUGUGUGAAUUAUUUUUUAAAGAGAAAAAUUGAAAUGCAUUUCCAGGCUGGGUACAUAGCUGGUCUAUUUUUUGGGCUACUAUAAUUGUGGCAGGUGAACUUAGCAAUGACACUUGAAAGUUGCUUUUGUUAUACUAUUUUAAGUAUGUCUCUUUUAAAAUUUGCCUCUUUUCAUUUUCAAGGGAUAUCAAAUGUGCAAAUAUAUUGGUAGAUGCUAGUGGAUCAGUAAAACUUGCGGAUUUUGGGUUGGCAAAGGUAGUUAAUCUCUCCCCUUCUUUGUAAAACUCAUGAAUGCUACUGAAUUUAAUGCAAUAUAUUUGAUCUUUUCAGGCAACUACAAUGAAUGAUCUCAAAUCCUGUAAAGGAACACCAUUCUGGAUGGCCCCUGAGGUUUUCCUCUUCUGUUGUAGUCUGAUUUAUAUAGACAAAAUCUGAUCUAUUUGCUGAAUGUCCCUCAUUCACAAUCGAAUUUGCAUGGUCUAAAGGUUUAACUGAUCUACUUGUUUAUAACCAUUGAUAUCUUGGUCAUUGUCAAAUUUGAGAGCUCUGGGACACAUAAAAUCUAAUUUUUUUCAACCUUUUAGCUUGACAUGUUUGCAGCAGUUUUUAGGAGGUUAAUUUUUGAAUUUGACACUACUGUGUUUCUAUAGCUUGCUUUUGUAUAGCUUUAAAGAUUGCAAAUCAGAUCCUCUACCUUCUUUCAUUUGAAUUUUGAAACAUUAUCUGCUCCCGUUCAUUUGAAGUUGAUGAGAAAAGGCCUCUCUUUAAUUUAGAUGUAGUUAAUACUAGUCCUAUAGUUGAUAUUGGUACACAUUCAUCAAAAAUUAUUGCCCAGACAUAGGACCAAAAACCUGGAAACUGACUCAUGGUAAAGAGUAAACAUCUUUUCAUAUAUCAUAUUGACACAUACCGAAAAUGUUUCUAUUAGACAUUUCAGGUUAACAAGAUUAGUUUUGCUUCUUAGGUUGUAAAUUCAAAGAAUGACGGCUAUGGACUAACUGCUGAUAUAUGGAGCCUUGGGUGUACUGUGUUGGAGAUGUUAACCCGUCGGCCUCCAUACUCUCACUUGGAAGGCGUACGUAAAAAAUUUUCAUAUAUUAAAAUUGAUUUGCUUUCCCUACUUUUCCAUGUUUUGUUUUAUAUGCCUGUUUUUUCUUGUUAAACAUCUUGUGAUUUGUAAAAGGUUGCAUCAGUUUUGAUAUGGUGCUUAGUUGUUGCAUAAUUUUGUGUGUUGGCAGGUGCAAGCAUUAUUCAGGAUAGGCAAGGGUGAACUUCCUUCAGUUCCCAGCUCAUUAUCGAGAGAUGCCCGGGAUUUUAUUCUUAAAUGCUUACAAGUUAACCCAAAUGAUCGGCCUACUGUAACUGAACUAAUGGAGCAUCCAUUUGUAAAGAGGCCACUGCAAACUCCUAGGUGACUUCUCCUCAUUAUAACAUUAUGCAGUCUUGAAAGUUUGUGAUUAUGCUUUGGGGUUUACGUAUAUUCUAGAGGUAGUCUAGCGGCAUCAUCAAAUUUAAAUUGCAACCUUUAGUUGUAGCUUUGACUUCUUGUUUGGACUUAAUAUCAUGGACAUACUGAAAAUAAUUGUUAAAUACAUUUAUAAACUAUCCAUUUGGGCUUGCAACUUCACUUUUCAAGCUUAUAGGGAACUAAGAAAUGGAGCUAGAUUGUGAUGCGUCCAACUGCCUUGGUGAUCCAAAUUCAGUGUGAAGGGAGUGAACAAGUUCCUCUAGAUGUUUUAAUGCAACCCCUUCCUGUUGAUAACUGGACAAACCUUGAGAGAUUAUUGCUUUUUAUACUGAUUUGCUUUGAGGUUAACCUACAAGUCAACAUUGUUAUUGUGUCGUUUGGUUCUAUAUAUUUUAGAUUUGUGUUACUUUUCUUUAUUUUGCAUGCGUCCUUUGUUCGCAGGUGUGGCCAAGCCAAUUGCUAGUUCUUUUAAUAGCUUUGAGCUGAGGCACAUGUGGUGUUAAUACAAUGCUAAGAUCUCUUAAUCUAUGCUUAUGCAUAGGCUGAGAAUCUGUUCAUAUGAAGAAGCAGAUGAUGUGUAAAUAUGUAAUUAGAUGUCGAUAUUUUGUGGUCUUGAUAAUCUGGAAUCUUAAAAUGGUGUUAUAAGAAAGCAAAUUGUUAUCAAUUGUUAGAGUAUUUUUCAUACACUACUUGAUGCUGUGACACGGAGAAAACUGAAAUGCCGUUACCUUGGAAAUUUCUUCCGGACAAAGCAUUGUAAAUUUCAGUUUUAGCAGAAAAGCAAUCCCUCUGCCUCUGCUUAGCCGCUCAACCUAUUGUUUCAUUUUCUUUUUUUCUUUUUUUAUUUACCGAAAAGAGUAAUACUAUUUUUACGCAUAAAAUUGCAUGUAAAUUUGUACAACAGUACAAGAUCACCCAAGACAAACACAAGAUACUGAAAGAUAAAUUUACUGAGGUCAUUAGUUUUUGCUUUAAAAAAUUAUUCAUGGCUGCACGCAAGGACAAAGGAGAGGUUAUUUUUUUUUUUCUUAAUGGAUAAAGAAAAGUCAGCAGUACUACGGAGUACAGGCACUUGUCGACAAUCAACACCUCAAUCCAUUUGUCCAGAUGAAAAAGGACAAAUUAAAUGACACGGAAAUAUCCAUUGGUGGAGCUGAAAAAGAUCAAAUAAAAGAGACACCUGUUUGUUGUCUUAUUGUCUGCAAAACAGUAAACACAAACAGAAACAGGAGAAGAAAAUUUUUUAACAGCGCAAUGAGAAAACAAAUGGGCAAGUUAUUGAAUUCGAAGGACUUCGAUGAUGGUCAGAAAAUUGGGUCGGGGAAGACCUUGAGAAGAUGGGGAUCUCCCUGCAAUGGCCGCAGAAGCUUCCAUAAGCUCGCCGAUCUCGACGAUCGACUCAAAUUACAGGUGAAUUAUCCCUUUAAUUUCUUUAUUUUUUUUCAGUUAUUAGUUAACUUAUGAUUCAAGUUAAUUUGGGUUAGCUUUAUUGAUUUAUUUAUUUAUUUUAAUUAUAUAAGUAAUUUUUGUAUUUACUUUUUUAGUUGUGUGCCUAAUUUCUUUGGGGUUAAUGCCUAAUGGGAAACUUUUAAAAUCAACACUCAAGAAUUUAAAUGCAGACUGACGGGUAAAGGUGAAUAGUACUAAAUGAUUGAAUUUAGGAUACCGAACUAAAUGUCAUCUCCGUGUGUUACAGGAACAAGUUACAGUUUCACCUGUCGUUCUAAAAGCGGUACUUCACUUUACAGAGAGUCCGAGUCUGCGUUCAAAUGAAGAUGUGCCAUCAAGUGAAUACAUUGUGACCGUGGCUGCCACCGAUGCCAGAAUAUUUCAAGAACCCGUUGAUGACGUUGGAUCCACCGUCAAUGGCCUUGAGGUAAUGAUAAUUUAUACUGAAACUUUUAUUCCUCAAUUCAAUUUUCAAAUAUCAAAGUAUGCUCUUUUGAUAUUUGAAAAUCCGAAAAUCGCUCAAGUAUCCAUUUUCCUGUGUUUGUGUUUACUGUUUUAAGUUUUAGUACCAAGAGCUUUAUAUAUGUUAAUAGAUGAGUUUGUGAGUAAUGUUUCAGUGGCUUAUGUUAGGAGUCUCACAAUUUGAUUUUUGUUUCAUGGUUAGGGCCUAGAGGAGGCAUUUGCCCCAAUUUGCUCAUUUGAUUCAGAUUCAAGUUUUGGUCUUAGGUGUUACAAUUUCAAUUACUUUGUAUUCGAGUUGGAUAAAUACCUGUAAUUUGGAUUAUAACUGCUCAGUAUAUAUGUAUUAUCUUCGCUGAGUAGCUUUUUAUUUAUGGGGCUCGUUGAGGGGAUUAAAUGAUGAUGUUAGUCUUUUGGUGUCAAGUCAUUUGAUAUUCUUGAAAUUCAUGAAACUUUUAUUAUGCCAAUUAGAAUAAAUGAAGCUGUUUUGAUUGGGUCACACGAGAAGCUUUUGAUGUGCCAAUUAAUUAUUAUCAUCUGGCAUAAAGGUACACCAUAUGCUAUGAAUCUUUUCAAAAAGUGAUUUUCAUUAUUAUCAUUAUCAUUAUUAUUAUUUAACAUAAAGAUUUUAUUAUUAUUAUUAAUUUUAAAGCAUUAAUAAUGGGGUAAUUAUAGACCCUUAGAUUUGUAUGUUUACCCUUUAAUCAUAAUCAUCCAACUUCCUGUUGAUCAAAUUCACUGCAAAAGUCGCUUUUGUUCCUGCUACAUAGCGGGCUUUUUUUAUCAGAAGUUUUGCAUGUAGCCGCCAGAAACUAGUUCAAAUGGUCAAUUAACAACAGCCGCUGUAAUAUAAGCGGACCCCAAUUAACAUCACCACGCAAUCAACAGAACAUCCCGCUAGCAGAUGUACGGUGGACAAUUAUUUCCUCGUGGCUGAGGAUUCAUCUGAACCAAAUGGACCCAUAUGUAAUAAAAAUAAAUAAAUAGAUAACAAAAAAGCAGGAGAACAAACGGAAAAUUUUAUAUUUUUCUGACAAAAUAAAGAGAUAGGUGGGGGCAGUGGAAAAUUGACUUUUUGAUGACUCUAUGGUCCGCCAUUAGAGAAUAACUGCAACCAAAUUAUGUUUUUCACUUCAAUUAUUAUUAUUAGUGUUAUUAAUAAUUAGGACUUCUUUAUCAACACCAAUCUCUCACUCAAAUUCAACGGCCAAAUUGUCGGGGGGUUGUGCUCGGCUGAUCAAAAGCAAGUAGUAUAGUUAGGGUUUAGUCUUGGAUAUAAGUUUAAGUAUCUGGAAUGGAAUAAUAGAUAACGUCUUGCACACCCAUGUUCUCUGUAAUUUUCUUAUUCACUUUUUAAAAAGUAAUCCAGUUUGAUGAUAGAACUCAAAUUUAUAAGGAAUUAUUAUCAAAUCGAUUAGAAUAACAACAACAAUUCAAAUUAGCAAAGUGUUAUAGAAUAAACGAUUCUUGUGAAGAAUCCAAUUUCGAAUAAAACAAUUUCACAUAUUGUAUUUUAUCUUUUCUCUUUUUACUUUCUUUUUUAAAUUUAAAAUAACCCUUUUAACCGUUUGUCAAUUAGUUAUAUAAUUUUAAAAAUAAUUAAAAUUUUUAUUAAUAAAAAUAAUGUGCACCAUUGAUUAAAUCUAAUGGUAUAUAUUUAUGAUAUUAUUAAUAGUGUAAAAAAAAUUGUAGCAUUAUACUGGGACCACAAAACUAUCGUUUUCUCCUGAAAAAUCUUGCCAACAAAAUUAGCAGCCCCCACAAUGGAGAGAUUUAUGUACCUUACAUAUUUAUUUAGUUAUCAGUUAUCAAAUUCAUGAUUAUAUUAUUUUCUUGAAAAUUAUCUUCAAAGUUAUUGUGUUCCACAACAUAUUUCCCAGAUAGCCUUAUAAAGUAAUUCAAUCUGGAUGCUACAAAAAGAUCACAAACCAAAUAUUUAUAUGUAAUUAAGAUUAUCUUAUGUGUGACUAAGUAUAUAAUUACUCCUAUUGAGAAUCUAUAAAUGGUCCGAUUGGUCUUGCGUGCACUUAAUUUCGAGGGAAUUAAUAUUUUAUAUGCAAUCAUAAUCCUGAUAAACUCACUAUGGGUUUAAUUGAAUAGUGAUGUGUUGAUCCACAUCUACGUUGUGAUUGGUGCAACCGACCCAAUCGAUCAAGGCACUCCAGGACCAAUAUUUGACUCUAGGUUAAUGGAUCAACUAUGAAUUGGACUUAUCAAUCAAGACACCGAAUGCAUACUUUUUACUGUUAUUUGUUAUCUUUUGAGUUGACUUUUUAAAAAUUAAAUAAAUUAUUUUAUCUCUAUUAGUAAAAGAUUAAAUUUUAGUCUUUUGAGAGCAGAGGUUGAGAAGCUUUUUUAAAAUGUUAAAAUAUCUAAAAUACCCUUAACUAAUUUAAUAGUCUUAUUUUAUUCAUUUUAUAACAUGACGUCAAAUAAUUUACACAUUACAGUAAUUUUACAAUUAUUAAUAAAAGUUCUCAUUGAUAACUAAACAACUAAUUUUUUUUAGGUUAAAAUCUCCACUUGUAAAAGUUCUACUAACAAAAGUUCUACUUAAAAAAAUUUUAUUUGAAAAGUUAUACCAAACAGAACCUUUAAGGCAUAUAACCAAAUCCACAAUGACAACUCAAUCCAUACCGGCAUUAAGAUAUAGUUAUGUGAAAUAAUUUGUUAUUUAUGGAGUAAUCACAAUUUUUUGUGUGAUGAUAUCAAAAAAUUUAGCCGACUCCUCUAGUAACUAAAAGUCUUGCAAGGGUUGGGACUUUCAGCACCAUCUUAGUUAUCACCAGUGAUCGAGCCUAACCCAACACUUGAAACAUUAAGAUCUUAAAUUCAAUGAGUAGAAGACAAGCAUUACAAUUUUUCAAGAUACAUUCUAUGGUAUACAUCUGGUUCAUACGAAAAUAUGAAAAAUAGUUAAUUUAUAAAAUAUAUUAUCAUAACAAGAUUUAUUUUCUUAUUAAAUUAAUCACAUAGAUUCAUUUGAUUUUAAAAAUGGUUACAUGGAUACUUAAAAAAAAUAAAAAUGGUUACGUACUUACAUAGACAUUAGACACCAUUCAAUGAACCAAAAGGGAUUUUAUGGCAAAAUAGAUAUGCAAAGAAUAUCUUGUACUGUGGAACCAAAUUUUUAUUAUAUAUGAUUGAUAUACAUAGAAAAAUUAGUUUCACAACUUUAAUCGCCUUAAACCGGGUCUAUACAUUUCUUCUGAAUUAGUCCCACAAAAAAUCAUCAACCUGUCGAGGUUAUCUUAUCUAGAUCUCUCUGAUUCUUCAUUUUCUAGUCAAAUACUAUCAGAAAUAUUAGAGCUCUCGCCAACUAGGUGUCCUUGAAUUAUCAGAAAAUUUAGAUCUUCAACUGUCCAGAAGCCAAGUCUCGGAAAUCUAGUUGAAAAUUGUUAACCAUCCUAAAAGCACUUGAUUUUUUGUGUUGGCAGAUGCAAGCAUUAUUCAGGAUAGGCAGGGGUGAACUUCCUCCGGUUCCUAACUCAUUAUCGAGAGAUGCCUGGGAUUUUAUUCUUAAAUGCUUACAUGUUAACCCAAACGAUCGGCCUACUGCAGCUCAACUAAUGGAGCAUCCAUUUGUAAAGAGGCCACUGCAAACUAGGUAACUUCCUUCUCCUCAUUAUAACAUCAUACAGCCUUGAAAGUUUCUGAUCAUCCUUUGGGGUUUAUGUAUACCUUAGAGGUAGUCUGGCAGCAUCACGAAAUUAAACAAUUAACUGCAACCUGUAGUUCUAGGUUUGAUUUCUUGUCUGGAUUUAAUAUCAUGGACAUACUGAACGUAAUUGUUAAAUACAAUUAUAAAAUAUCCAUUUGGGUUUGCAACUUCACCGUAAAGCUUAUGGGGAAAGGAGCAAGAUUCCGAAGCAUCCAAUGGCUGCCUUGGCGAUCCCAAUUCAUAGUAUGAAGGGAAUGAACAAGUGCCUCUAGAUGUUUUAAUCCAACUCCUUCCUGUUGAUAACUGGACAAACCUUGAGAGAUUCACAUUAGAUCUGGCCACUUUGCUUUUUAUACUGGUUUGCUUUGAGGUUAACCUGCAUGAUGACAAGGUUGUUGUGUCGUUUGGUUCUAUAUCCAUUAGGAAUAAUUCUUUAGGGAUACUGGGUUCAUGAUUAUGAUUUAAUUUUAUCUUAUGAAAGAUUUCUUAUUGAUUUUAGGCCGAUGAUAUAGAUACGUAUUUGUUACUUAGGAUGUUAGGAGGUAAGUAAACUAGAUUUCUAAAUGAAUAACAAUAAAUAAUAUGUAUAUGUUUGACAUGUUUAAAAAGCCUAUUUUGGUAUAUAUGGAUAUGGAUUUAUAUGCUCUGCCCAUGUAUUUAUAUGAUGUGUUGUUAUGUGAUUUGUGUGUUUAUGGACAUGGGCAUAUGUAUGUGUGAAUCUUUCAUUAGCAUUAGCAUGGAAAUGAAUUAUGUUUUCUGUUAAAUGAGAAAGUGGAUUUUAGGCAAAACGGAAUUUGAAGAAAGAAAGUGAGUUUUACAGUUUUAGCUUGGAUGCUUGAAUUUGUUACUCAUUUAGUGAAAGCCACUCCGGAUGUUAUAUUAUGGUUAAGAGAUAAGUGGGUGAGGGACGUAUUGACGUGAAGCUCAAAGUGUAUGAAAGUCAUGAAAGUUAAGUGAGUGUUCUACUAAGCAGUAAUUGAAUGAAUGUAACUCAAGCAAGUGAUUUGAAAGAAAAUGUGAAAGCUUGAAAAUGACAAAAUGAGAUUUUGAUGAUUUGUUUUACAAUGUUUUCGAAUACCAUGGCAUGUCAUCCAUUUGCAUUAUAGAUACGUAUGUAUGUAUUUUGGUAUAUGAAAAACUUAUUUGCCUACUGAGUUUUGUACACAUUAUAUUUUAUUGUGAUUCAUCCCAAAAUUAGGAUUGAUUCACGAUGAGUCACAAGAAGAACUUGAAUUGAGGGCGGCAGAUGAUUUGACAUAAAUUUUAAAUUCUUCCGCUACAGUUUGUGUAAUAUCUUUGUAUUUGAAGCUCAAAUUUUUAUGGAUUGUAAAAUGUUUAUUUUUUUUAUUUUUUUAGUAUAUAUUUUUGAGUUGCAAUUAGAUUCACCCUGUGGAGUUUGGGGCGGGUUGUUUCAAUCAGUACUUUGUAAAUUUUAUAUGUUUAUGAGAAUCUGUUCAUAUGAAGCAAAUUGAGUAUAAAUGUGCUGUUAGAUGCUGACGUUUUGCGAUCUUGACAAUCUUAAACAGCUUUGGCUGUCGGGGAACUUAAAAAUGAGCAAAAGGAAAUUCAUUGUAUUAUGAUUGUUGAUAACAUACUUGUAGGAAAUAAACAGAUAACAUAAAGACAAGGUGUUGUUUGAUAUUAACCAAGUGAAUUCUUGUAAUUGAAUUUUAAUUCUGUAAAUUGAAAAGGGUAGUACAAACGGAGGUUACCCCUCCAUUUGUAGCCGAAUCAAGUGGUGUGUGAUGUGCGGGCAGGACGCGGGAAGCUCAUGCAAGUGAUCGAUGUGUGAUGUGGCUUGUUAUUUGGAAUUCAGGAAAAGUUUGCUUAACUGUUAUCAUCUUGCAAGUGUUAAUCAUAACUUAGCAGCCACAAAGUUUCAACAGGAUAAUAAUCUGAUAUCUUCUUAGUGCAUGUACUGGGGAUGAAUUUAUAGACAAGGCGAAUCUGAGUUGAAGAGAGUAGGAAAUUCUUCUCUCAGCAAAAUGUUAUAAAAAUGCUCAUUCAGAUCGCUCACUGAUUGUUAUAAAAAUCCUUUGGGGUUUAUGUAUAUCCUAGAGGUAGUCUAUCGGCAUCAUCAAAUUUAAACUGCAACCUGUAUUUGUAGAUUUGACUUCUUGUUUGGGUUUAGUACCAGGGACAUACUGAAAAUAAUUGUUAAAUACAUUUAUAAAAUAUCCAUUUGGGCUCGCAACUUCACAUGCAAGCUUACGGGGAACUGAGAAAUGGAGGAGCAAGAUUGUGAUGCAUCCAACGGCGGCCUUGGUGAUCCCAAUUCACUGCAUGAAGGGAAUAUACAAGUGCCUCUAGAUGUUUUAAUUCGACUCUUUCCUGUUGAUAACAGGGCGAACCUUGAGAGAUUCACAUUAGAUCUGGCUGCUUUGCUCUUUAUACUAAUUUGCUUUGAGGUUAACGUGCUUGUCGACAUGGUUAUUGUGUCAUUAGAUUCUAUAUCCAUUAGGAAUAAUAUUUUUUAUAGCUUGUGUUGCUCUUCUUUAUUUUGCAUGUGCCAUUUGUUCACAGGCGUGGCCAAGCGAAUUGCUAGUACUUUUAAGAGCUUUGAGAUGAGGCACAUGCGGUGUUAGUACAAUGCUAAGCAUCUUUUUGCCGUUGAAUCUACCUGCCAGGCAAUUCUUGGCACUGAAAACAGAGAUGGUGCAUUCUAGAUGAAUAUGCACAAGGCACAACUGCUCAUGAUGCAAAAUCUGAGAAACUGAGAUGGUGCACCCAUUCUUUCAUCGCUCAUCGACCUCCUGCGGACAGACCAGUGGCAUUUAAAUUGCUAGGUUUCCUUCCCUUCUUGUGGGCUAGGUUUUUUCUGUUACGAUUUUCUUUUCUUUGGCGGAGUGUGUGACAUCAAUUUGGUGUAAAUAACACUUUUUCAAAAAGUAAAAAUCGGCACAUGUGAAAUUUAUUUGUUGCAUUUUAUGGAGUCCUCAAAGGUAAAUUCUGUCAAUAUAUGCUUAUGCAUAGGCUGAGAAUCUGCUCAUACGAAGAAGCAGAUGAUGUGUAAAUAUGUAGAUAGAUGCCGAUAUUUUGUGGUGUUGAUAAUCGUAAACAUCUUUGGCUUUUGCGAAUCUUAAAAUGGUGUUAUAAGAAAGCAAAUUGUUGUCUAUUUUUUGAAUAUUUUUCAUACACUACUUCCAGCUGUGCCAGGGAGAAAACUGAAAUGCUGUUACCUUGGAAAUUUCUACCGGAGGAAGCAUUGUAAAUUUCAGUUUUACCAGAAAAGCAAUCCCUCUGCCUCAACCUAUUCAUUUUCUUUUUUAUUUAUUUUUAAUCCUUUUUUUUUUAAUUGAGCGAAAAGUGCAAUACCAUUUUUGCGCAUAAAAUUACCUGUAAAUUCGCACAAGAUUACCCAAGACAAACACAAGAUACUAAAAGAUAAAUUUAAUUUACUCAGGUCAUUAAUUUUUGCUUUAAAAAAUUAUUCAUGGCUGUAUGUCACCGCCUCCACCUAUCCUCCACAUUCCCCAUUCCAUCUGUCACGUGUAACACAACAAACCCUUUUCUUUUUUUUUUCCUAUUAUUUACAGUUAUAAAGCACUUUCCAGUUAUAAAGCACGAAAGGACAAAGGAGGGGGGUUUUUUUUUUUUUUUCCUCCAAGCGAAAAGGAUAAAGCAAAGUCAGCAGUACUACGGAGUACGGAGUACGGAGUACGGACACUUGUUGACAAUUAACAGCUCAACACUGUCUUACUCGGAAAUAUCCGUUUUCCAGCUGAAAAAGAUAAAUUGAAGUACACGGAAAUAUCCAUUUGUCGAGCUGAAAAAGAUAAAUAAAAGAGAAACCUGUUUGUUGUAUUAUUGUCUGCAAAACGCACAUNNNNNNNNNNNNNNNNNNNNNNNNNNNNNNNNNNNNNNNNNNNNNNNNNNNNNNNNNNNNNNNNNNNNNNNNNNNNNNNNNNNNNNNNNNNNNNNNNNNNACAGAGAGAGAAGAAAAAUUUUUAACAGCGCAAUGAGAAAACAAUUGAGCGAGUUAUUGAAUUCGAAGGACUUCGAUGAUGGUCAGAAAAUUGGGUCGGAGAAGACCUUGAGACGAUGGAGAUCUGCCUGCAAUGGCCGUAGAAGCUUCCAUAAGCUCGCUGGUCUCGACGAGCAUCUCAAAUUACAGGUGAAUUAUCCCUUUUAUUUAUUUUUUUUAAUUAUUAGUUAACUUAUGAUUCAAGUUAAUUUGGGUUAGCUUUAUUGAUUUAUUUAAAUUAUAUAAGUAAUUUUUGUAUUCACUUAUUUAGUUCUUUGCCUAAUUGCGUUGGGGUUAAUGCCUAAUGGGAAACUUUAAAAUCAACACUCAAGAAUUUAAAUGCAGAGUCAAGAGUAAAGGUGAAUAGUACUAAAUGAUUGAAUUUACGAUACCAAACUAAAGGCUUUCUGUGUGUUAUAUAGGAACAAGUUAGAGUUUUCUAUAUAUGUUGUUCAAAAGCUGUACUUUCACUUUACUGAAAAUCUGAGCCUGCAGUCAAAUGAAGAUGUGCCAUCAAGUGAAUGCAUUGUGACUGGGGCUGGCACUGAAGCUAGAAGAUUUCAAGAACCCAUUGAUGAUGUUGGAUCCACAAUCGGUGGCCUUGAUGUAAUGAUAAUUGAUACUGAAACUUUUGUAACCUCACUUAAAAUUGAAUUUAGGACACCGAACUAAAUGCCGUCUGUGUGUUACAGGAACAAGUUAGACUUUCACCUGUCGUUCUGAAAGUGGUACUUCACUGUACAGAAAAUCUGAGUCUGCGUUCAAAUGAAGAUGUGCCAUCAAGUGAAUACGUUGUGACCGAGGCUGCCACCGAAGCCGGAAUACUUCAAGAACCCCCCGUUGAUGACGUUGGAUCCACCGUCAAUGGCCUUGAGGUAAUGAUAAUUUAUACUGAAACUUUUAUUCCUCAUUUCAAUUUUCAAAUAUCAAAAUAUGCUCUUUUGUUAUUUGAAAAUCGCUCGAGUAUCCAGUUUUCUGUUUGUAUUUGGAUACAUCGAGGUAAGAAUAUUAAAGUUUUGCAUACAAUUGGCCUCCAAUUUCUGAGUUUAAAAUUUGUAACUUAAUGAAUGACAAUACAAUUCCAUUGAUUGAGAUGUAUAACUGCAUUCUUUGUAUAUUACAGAUUUGUGAGCUACUUGGUAAAUAUAAGAAACGUGCACUUGCUGUGUUUUAUCUUGUGUUGGAAGCAGCAUCCUUUUUACUGGAUAUAUUUGGGAAAAGUAAGAGGAGGAUCCUUCUUGCUGCAUUUCUAUUGUCAGCAUUUGGUUUUGCUAUUACUAUGAGUACGCAUUCUUGGACCGUGAGAAGAAACAUAGCUGCAACCAGAAUGCAUUUACAGAAGCGACUACUUAUGUUGUUGGAAAUGUCUUUCUCUUUGGUCCAGUUGAUUGUUACGCUUAUUUAUUUUAUUCUGGCGGAAUUGGGUGUCAAGAACAAUUUCAAUACAUCUGUUUUCCCACUGGUCUUUGCUAUAAUUGCUGCUGUGUUUACUUUCAAAUAUGAUGGGGAAGUUUCUGAAUCGGGCCUCGACAGUGCGCUUGUGGCCCUAGCUGCUGGUAAUCAGGUAUGAUUGUGAGCACAAUUGUAAUCAUCAAGCUGCACUUGGUGAAUUCGCAUAACUUAUCACCUCUAUGACUAUGAAUUCCUACAAAUAUAGAGAAAACUGCAUGAGACUGUAUGCUUUUGCAAUAUUGUGGAAAGAAGGAAAUAUAAAGAUUGUGAGAUUGCAUUGUGUAAGUCAAUAUAAAGAUUGUGAGGUCUAUAAAAGAUUGCUUUAAUAAUUUGUAUGCAUAAUGCUGGGGUGCCUCUGUAGAUUUGGAAAUCCUCUAUGUAAUUAACGAUUGUUGUGGCAGUAUGGCCAAAUCAGUACAGAUAUCAAAUCUUUGAUAGUUUGCACCUUUUUAGGUUCAUAUGCCAAAUAUUACUGGCAAUGAGGAUCCAGAAGCAAACGGCUGCAUGCCUAUGCUGGCAGACUUCCGAUGAUUAAUGAAGAUGAUUCUGAGAAACGAGGUCCAUAUGCUUGUUCUUCACUCUGCCUUCAGGCUUACUCUUUCUCUCACACUAUUUACACAAACUCUCUUUUCAGUACCGAAAGCUUUAUAUAUGUUAAUAGAUGAGUUUGUGAGUAAUGUUUCACUGGUUUAUUUUAGAAGUCUCACAAUUUGAUUUUUGUUUCAUGGUUAGGACCUAGAGGAGGCAUUUGCCCCCAUUUGCUCAUUUGAUUCAGAUUCAAGUUUUGGUCUUAGGUGUUACAAUUUCAAUUACUUUGUAUUCGA